rnacentral:rRNA from 1 species
GGGGAACUGAAACAUCUAAGUACCCCGAGGAAAAGAAAUCAACCGAGAUUCCCCCAGUAGCGGCGAGCGAACGGGGAGGAGCCCAGAGCCUGAAUCAGCAUGUGUGUUAGUGGAAGCGUCUGGAAAGGCGCGCGAUACAGGGUGACAGCCCCGUACACAAAAGUGCAUGUGCUGUGAGCUCGAUGAGUAGGGCGGGACACGUGGUAUCCUGUCUGAAUAUGGGGGGACCAUCCUCCAAGGCUAAAUACUCCUGACUGACCGAUAGUGAACCAGUACCGUGAGGGAAAGGCGAAAAGAACCCCGGCGAGGGGAGUGAAAAAGAACCUGAAACCGUGUACGUACAAGCAGUGGGAGCACCCUUUGGGGUGUGACUGCGUACCUUUUGUAUAAUGGGUCAGCGACUUAUAUUCUGUAGCAAGGUUAACCGAAUAGGGGAGCCGGAGGGAAACCGAGUCUUAAUUGGGCGUUAAGUUGCAGGGUAUAGACCCGAAACCCGGUGAUCUAGCCAUGGGCAGGUUGAAGGUUGGGUAACACUAACUGGAGGACCGAACCGACUAAUGUUGAAAAAUUAGCGGAU